GUGCCAGCCGCCGCGGUAAGACAGAGGGUGCAAACGUUGUUCGGAAUUACUGGGCGUAAAGCGCGUGUAGGCUGCUUCGCAAGUCGGAUGUGAAAGCCCUGGGCUCAACCCAGGAAGUGCAUUCGAAACUGCAGAGCUGGAGUCCUGGAGAGGAAGGCGGAAUUCUCGGUGUAGAGGUGAAAUUCGUAGAUAUCGAGAGGAACACCGGUGGCGAAGGCGGCCUUCUGGACAGUGACUGACGCUGAGACGCGAAAGCGUGGGGAGCAAACAGGAUUAGAAACCCGCGUAGUCC
rnacentral:rRNA from 1 species